AAGAAAACACUGCUGUUAAAAUAUUCCUCCUUCAUAUGUUGAUGUGACAAUGCAGAAAUUGGUCAAACUUGCUAUUUUCUUCACUGUUCAUGUUUUGGUGUGCCGGGCAUCAGACAAUGUUGAACAACCUUCAGGACAAAUGGCUGCAAAUGAAGCAGAUUCAGUUCAUCUACAGUGCAAUUACUCUACAACUUUCACAAAUGCUUAUCUGUUCUGGUACAAACAACUGCCGAACAGACCACCGACUUUCAUCCUGAGUGAAUUUACCAUUGGUGAAGGAACUACUGAGGAUGAAUUUAAAGGGAGAUUUUCAGCAACACUGAAUUCAGCAUUAAAAUCUGUUCCUCUGCUGAUCCAGGAUCUGCGAGUGUCAGACUCUGCUGUGUAUUACUGUGCUCUGAGGCCCACAGAUGCCGUUCACCAGAAGAGAGUUGAAACUGCUGUUGAAGGCACCGAUUUAUUCAUCAGUUGCUCGUAUACAAGCACUGACCCAAUACCAACGCUCUUCUGGUACCAGCAAAAAGUAAAUGGGUUCCCCAAGUACAUGCUGUCUACUUUUGAAAGCAAAGACAACGAGUUCAAGAAGAGAUUUAAUGCAAGACUGAACACAUCUUCAACUUCAGCUCCUCUGCUGAUCCAGGAUUUGCGAGUAUCAGACUCUGCGGUGUAUUACUGUGCUCUGAGGCCCACAGUGACUUAA